AACACAUGAUGAGGGCAUCCCCUGAGAAGAUCCUUAAAUCACUUAUAUGCUUCAAAUAGUGUUUCCGACUCACCUUACUUGAAUGCUAAGAUUUCCUGUCUAGUAUU